rnacentral:tRNA from 1 species
GCUUCCGUAGCGCAGUCGGUAGCGCGUCAGUCUCAUAAUCUGAAGGUCNAGCGCAAAGUCAUAAGCG